rnacentral:rRNA from 1 species
GACGAACGCUGGCGGCGAGCUUAACACAUGCAAGUCGAACGAAGAGCGAUGGAAGCUUGCUUCUAUCAAUCUUAGUGGCGAACGGGUGAGUAACGCGUAAUCAACCUGCCCUUCAGAGGGGGACAACAGUUGGAAACGACUGCUAAUACCGCAUACGAUCUAAUCUCGGCAUCGAGGAUAGAUGAAAGGUGGCCUCUACAUGUAAGCUAUCACUGAAGGAGGGGAUUGCGUCUGAUUAGCUAGUUGGAGGGGUAACGGCCCACCAAGGCGAUGAUCAGUAGCCGGUCUGAGAGGAUGAACGGCCACAUUGGGACUGAGACACGGCCCAGACUCCUACGGGAGGCAGCAGUGGGGAAUCUUCCGCAAUGGACGAAAGUCUGACGGAGCAACGCCGCGUGAGUGAUGACGGCCUUCGGGUUGUAAAGCUCUGUUAAUCGGGACGAAAGGCCUUCUUGCGAAUAGUGAGAAGGAUUGACGGUACCGGAAUAGAAAGCCACGGCUAACUACGUG